ACAAUUAACGACACAAUCCCAACUUUUAUCGUCUUCCCAAAACUUGAAUUUCUAACAUCGAAUCCAUUUAUCUGUAGAAGACAACAUAUACGAUGUCAAGCAAUGAGAUAUUAGAUCGAGAUCAGCAACCCUGCAGUAAUGGCGUGCUCCUGAGCCUGAUCAUAUCCAUGUCCGACGGCCAGCUCCUGAAUCAGAUUUAUGAAACCCAUCUUCCUCCUAUCCAAGAUUUUGAUCCUACUUCUCUUUUCACUCACAUCAAAGAAGUGCUUUACCUCGCAACCCAUACUGUCAACAAUGCUUUACUGGGUACUCAAGACCUGGACUUGGAGAACCUGGGGGGACAAGAGUUUUGGGAUAUGGAAGAGUACAUAUACAAUCAUCUAUCGUGCACACUCGAGCAAAUUUCCUCUGAGCUCGCAGCCAAGUCUCCCGAUGGGGCAAGCGAACUCAGAAAAACAUCAAUGUCGAUACUUAAGAAAGUCUCAAGCUAUUAUUCAUGGGCAGCAAAGGCAGUGCUGACUCUUGCAGCUUUUGCUUUGGACUAUGGAGAUUUCUGGACCCUUUCACAGUUAGACUCAUUGGACCAACUGGAAAAAGCAGUGGGAAUCGAAAAAGUACUUGUACUUGAUCUGCCCUUAAAGCGCCCGGACCUUCAAAAAUGGGAGAAAGAGAUUGGUGAGGUUAGCAAUCUGAUCAAGGACACGUUGGAAGUAAUCGAAUUCGUUGUUGAGUUGGAAAGGCUAUCUAAGUUGGCAGAUACCCACGGAAAUAUACUUGCAUUGACAACUGCCAAGGAUUGUAUCCCACUACAUGCCUAUUGCGCUAUCAUAACUGUUGUUGCUUGCACGACUCAGAUGUUUUAUCUCAGUAGCGAUAAUAACGACAAGGAACUGGAACUAUCUCCCUUGACUCAGAAAAUGGACCUCAACCUCAACUUACUAAAGAAGAACAUAAAGGAUUGCCAUCAACAAAUAGAGGAAGUGAAGAAAUAUCAGCAAAAAGAGAGAGUUCCGGAAAUACCUAAGAAAAUCCUGGAGGGCUUCAAGGCGAUGAUUUUUGCGGAGGAGAAUUUGUAGCGAGUACUUACCGAUGGUUCUACCAACAAAAUGCUGAGUUUGGACGUGCUGAAAGGGAAGAAUAUUCUAUUAUUCAUUUCGGACAUAGACAUAUCCGUUGAAGAAAUCUCAAUUUUGAAGCCAAUUUAUGAGGGAACAAGGACAGACGACCAAUAUAAAAUUGUAUGGAUCCCAAUGGUGGAGCAAUGGACCGAUGAUACGCAGACCAAAUUUGAGAUGCUACAGUCCAACAUGCCAUGGUACAUUAUGCAGCACUUCUCGAAAGUAGUAGACAUCGGCCAUGACUCCUUCAGUACUACAGAGGGGUGGAACUUAAAAAAUGAGCCUAUCGUCGUGAAUAUAAACCCGCAAGGUGAGGUGGAACACCCAAAUGCUAUCCGCAUGAUUCGGCUAUGGGGAAUGAAUUCCUUCCCAUUCACCAUCACAGCUGCAAAAGCGCUAAUACCUCCAGCUCCCAGCGGGAAGCGUAGAUCUAAACGGAGGGUACACAUCAGACAAACAGGACCGAGCGUGAAUUUCGAUGAGGAGGAAUAUCGUUUUUUCUAUAGAUUCACCAACAUCAAGUGGAAGC